rnacentral:rRNA from 1 species
AGUGAACGCUGGCGGUAGGCCUAACACAUGCAAGUCGAACGGCAGCACAGUAAGAGCUUGCUCUUACGGGUGGCGAGUGGCGGACGGGUGAGGAAUACUUCGGAAUCUACUUUUUCGUGGGGGAUAACGUAGGGAAACUUACGCUAAUACCGCAUACGACCUACGGGUGAAAGCAGGGGAUCUUCGGACCUUGCGCGAUUGAAUGAGCCGAUGUCGGAUUAGCUAGUUGGCGGGGUAAAGGCCCACCAAGGCGACGAUCCGUAGCUGGUCUGAGAGGAUGAUCAGCCACACUGGAACUGAGACACGGUCCAGACUCCUACGGGAGGCAGCAGUGGGGAAUAUUGGACAAUGGGCGCAAGCCUGAUCCAGCCAUACCGCGUGGGUGAAGAAGGCCUUCGGGUUGUAAAGCCCUUUUGUUGGGAAAGAAAAGCAGCAGGUUAAUACCCCGCUGCUCUGACGGUACCCAAAGAAUAAGCACCGGCUAACUUCGUG